AGAGUUUGAUUAUGGCUCAGAACGAACGCUGGCGGCGCGUUUUAAGCAUGCAAGUCGAGCGGCAAGGGUCUUCGGGCCCCUAGAGCGGCGGACGGGUGAGUAACACGUGGACAAUCUGCCCCCCGGCCGGGGAUAGCCCAGGGAAACCUGGAUUAAUACCGGAUGAGACGGGACCCGCGGAGGCGGGAUCCGGGAAAGGCGCUGCGGCGCCGCCGGGGGAUGAGUCUGCGUCCCAUUAGCUUGACGGCGGGGUAACGGCCCACCGUGGCGACGAUGGGUAGCCGGCCUGAGAGGGUGGACGGCCACAUUGGAACUGAGACACGGUCCAGACUCCUACGGGAGGCAGCAGCUAAGAAUCUUCCGCAAUGGGCGAAAGCCUGACGGAGCGACGCCGCGUGAACGAAGAAGGCCGUGAGGUUGUAAAGUUCUUUUCGGGAGGGGGAACAACCGUGGCAGGGAAUGGCCGCGGGAUGACGUGAAUCCCGGAAUAAGCCCCGGCUAACUACGUGCCAGCAGCCGCGGUAACACGUAGGGGGCGAGCGUUGUUCGGAAUCAUUGGGCGUAAAGGGCGUGCAGGCGGUCCUGCAAGUCCGGCGUGAAAGACCCCGGCCCAACCGGGGGGGCGCGCUGGAAACUGCAGGGCUUGAGUACAGGAGGGGAUGCCGGAAUUCCAGGUGUAGGGGUGAAAUCUGUAGAUAUCUGGAGGAACACCAAAGGCGAAGGCAGGCAUCUGGCCAUGUACUGACGCUGAGACGCGAAGGUGCGGGGAGCAAACAGGAUUAGAUACCCUGGUAGUC
rnacentral:rRNA from 1 species